UAGGGAAUCUUCCGCAAUGGGCGAAAGCCUGACGGAGCAACGCCGCGUGAGUGAUGAAGGUCUUCGGAUCGUAAAACUCUGUUAUUAGGGAAGAACAAAUGUUUAAGUAACUAUGCACGUCUUGACGGUACCUAAUCAGAAAGCCACGGCUAACUACGUGCCAGCAGCCGCGGUAAUACGUAGGUGGCAAGCGUUAUCCGGAAUUAUUGGGCGUAAAGCGCGCGUAGGCGGUUUUUUAAGUCUGAUGUGAAAGCCCACGGCUCAACCGUGGAGGGUCAUUGGAAACUGGAAAACUUGAGUGCAGAAGAGGAAAGUGGAAUUCCAUGUGUAGCGGUGAAAUGCGCAGAGAUAUGGAGGAACACCAGUGGCGAAGGCGACUUUCUGGUCUGUAACUGACGCUGAUGUGCGAAAGCGUGGGGAUCAAACAGG
rnacentral:rRNA from 1 species